rnacentral:rRNA from 1 species
AUGGUUGGUGUGACGGGGCGUGCUAGCAGCCAAACAAGUAGCUUCUUUUGGAUUGGAUUCGCAAUCCUGUAUACACUUUCUGGCACGACCUCUCCCUUCCGCGUCGCUCCCGCCUCAUUCAUGGCAAGUGGCCACAUCGCCCAAUGCCUCGGUGGCAUCCUCGCCAGGCGGGCCGGCGCUACUGUGGCCGUCUCCGGCGACCUCUGUCUGAACGGUGCUCAGCUCGUGGAUGGCGUGCGCAGUCUGGCAGCCGGCCUCUUGGAGCGCGGCGUCCGUCCCGGUGAUGUCGUCGCCGUCGUCGGCUUCAACAGCAUUGAGUACAUGGAGCUGUUGCUGGCCAUCCCUUACAUCGGAGCAAUCGUUGCCCCUCUCAACUACCGCUGGAGUUUCGAGGAGGCGGUGCAGGCGCUGGAGCUUGUGCGGCCGUCGGCAUUCAUCUUUGAUGGUGCUUACAGCUCAUGGGCGCUCCGGUUGAUGGAGAGCCAGAGCUUCUCAUCCAUCUGCCUUUACGUCACCAUCGGGGAUCCUGUCAACAUCGGCCAAGGUGCAAACUUUGUGUCAGUUGAUCAUGUCAAGAGGAGUUGCAGAGGAACCACGGAAAUGGAGCCCGUGUCGGCUCCGAGGGAUGUCGGUUUAAUAUGCUUCACAUCUGGAACCACUGGACAGCCAAAGGGCGUAGCAAUAAGCCAUACAUCUUUGAUCAUUCAAUCUCUAGCAAAAAUCGCCGUUGUCGGCUACGGUGAGGAUGAUGUCUACCUACAUACAGCCCCUCUAUGCCAUAUCGGAGGGAUCUCUUCAUGCUUGGCCAUCCUGAUGGCUGGAGGCUGCCAUGUCCUGAUACCUAAAUUCGACGCAAAAUCAGCUAUCAAAGCAAUCCAAGAACACAAAGUGACUUGUUUCAUCACCGUUCCCACAAUCAUGGCUGACCUCCUGUCCUAUUCUCGGAAAGACAAGAUAUCAGGAUGCGGGUCGGUGGCUAAGAUCCUCAAUGGUGGCGGCAGGUUGUCGGAUGAGUUGAUAAAUGGAGCUUCUCAUUUAUUUUUUAACGCUGCUAUCUUUUCAGCUUAUGGGAUGACAGAGGCAUGCUCAUCGCUGACAUUCAUGCGUAUGAACAACCCAGAAGUUGAAGAAACCAAGAACCAGUUAACCAAGCAAUCUGAGGGUGUUUGUGUUGGAAAGCCAUCACCUCAUGUCGAGAUACGAAUCGGUAGAGAUGAAAGUAACAGUACCUCUUCACAAAUGGGGAAAAUCUUGACAAGAGGCUUGCACACAAUGGUUGGAUACUGGGGGAACAGUACGGCUGAUACACCAGAAUCUGUUAGGAAUGGAUGGCUUGACACCGGGGACACUGGAUGGAUAGAUAGGACCGGUAAACUAUGGCUCAUGGGGCGGCAAAAAGGCCGCAUAAAAAGCGGAGGGGAAAAUGUUUACCCGGAAGAGGUGGAAUUAGUGCUGUCACAACACCCAGGGGUAGCUAAAGCUGUGGUUUUCGGUGUACCGGAUAGUUGCCUUGGGGAGAAAAUUGUCGCUUGUGUUAGCAUCAGGGAUGACUGGAGAUGGGUUGAUGCAACAGCUGAGCACCAAGGAGAAGGCAAGGAAGUGUCUGCUCAUAUUCUUCAAGAAUAUUGCAGGAUAAAAAAUCUGAGCAGAUUCAAGGUGCCAAGAUUAUAUUAUCACUGGAGUAGGCCGUUCCCAGUGACCACCACAGGCAAAAUUAAAAGAGAGGAGCUGAAGGCCAAGGUCUUGGCUUGCAUGCAACCGCGUAGUAGUUUGUAG